rnacentral:rRNA from 1 species
GCGUGUGUGAAGAAGGCCUUCGGGUUGUAAAGCACUUUCAGUCGUGAGGAAGGUUUAUGCGUUAAUAGCGUAUAGAUUUGACGUUAGCGACAGAAGAAGCACCGGCUAACUCCGUGCCAGCAGCCGCGGUAAUACGGAGGGUGCGAGCGUUAAUCGGAAUUACUGGGCGUAAAGCGCAUGCAGGUGGUUUGUUAAGUCAGAUGUGAAAGCCCGGGGCUCAACCUCGGAAUAGCAUUUGAAACUGGCAGACUAGAGUACUGUAGAGGGGGGUAGAAUUUCAGGUGUAGCGGUGAAAUGCGUAGAGAUCUGAAGGAAUACCGGUGGCGAAGGCGGCCCCCUGGACAGAUACUGACACUCAGAUGCGAAAGCGUGGGGAGCAAACAGGAUUAGAUACCCUGGUAGUCCACGCCGUAAACGAUGUCUACUUGGAGGUUGUGGCCUUGAGCCGUGGCUUUCGGAGCUAACGCGUUAAAGGGCGAA